AUGGUUUUUACUGCAAUGCAUCUUGGGAGUCGUAGUAAAUGGAUCUUUCAACUCACGGUCCAGCGAAUUUUUCGACUCGACACGAGGCAGAUCUUAGCUAGAAAUUACAAAGCCAAAAACCCAAACCAUGCCCUUCCUGUCAGGCUCCAAACACCUGCAACAGGAAGACAUGCAGUGGAUGCCUGGGCAGCCUGAACGUAAAGGAGGGAUUGAAAAAAAAAAACAAGAACAGCAACUGGGCUGCCUCUGUUAAAAAAAAAAAACAAAACAGAAAUGCGAGCAGGGUGGUUAAUUCAGCCCAGUUAUCAGUAAGGUUUCAAAACUACAUGCCCUGGGCUUCCAGCCAAUUCUGUUUCUUGGACAGUUUGACCGAAAGGGCCGUAUAGUAGGGGACGUGAUCACAUAGAGCCAGCGGAUGGUGCUGCAUGUGACAUCCUCAUGAAGAUGAGGAAACUUUAUGAACACCUUCUGAGAAAAUUACAAGCUUCACCUCCUGCUAAAAGUUCUACACCAGCAGCUGGACCAUCCUCUGCUGACAGUGUCGAUGCUGGACCAGUCCCAGACCCAGAGGCUCUAAACGAGGAAUUUAUUCUUCAUUUAGAGCCUGAACCAACAUCUUCCCUCUGUCAGCCUCCUGUAUCCUCCUCUUCAUCUCUGCUUCCUCCUGCAUCCUCCUCUUCAUCUCUGCUUCCUCCUGCAUCCUCCUCUCCGUCUCUGCUUCCUCCUGCAUCCUCCUCUCCGUCUCCGCUUCCUCCUGCAUCCUCCUCUUCAUCUCCGCUUCCUACAUUUCCCUCAAUUUCUACGGCGUACACCUCGGAUGUCCAAAACAAAAAAAGGACAAGGAAAGGUUAGAUGUUACGGUAUUGUAAAUGUACGAAAUACAUGACAGGUUCGUUAAGUUUGUUAAGAUUUCUUUUUCUUAAUUUUUGCAUUUUCUCCAGUCUUACAGACCUCAUGUAAAUAUUUCAUUUGUUAUUUUUCAGAAUGCCGAAAACACCGUACACAGAAGAUUUUCAAAUAUGAAGAGAUAGUAGACAGGAGAGUUGUAAAUGAAAAAGAAGUUAAAGUCAAGUGGAAGCCCUGCUCGAUAUGGUAUGUAGUAACAACAUUGUUGGACCGGAACAGACAUUUAUAUUGUUGAUAAAUAGUUAUCACCUCAGUUUGAAUUCAUGUAUUUGGACUAAAGUAAAUUGGGAGCUUUUAGCUUUUAGCUGAGGAGCUUGAUAGCUGUCCACCUCCAAAGUUCAUUAUGAGUUUUGGAGGUGGACAUGGUCAAGACUUUUAAGAGUAGGCAUAAGACUUUACUUCUUUAUAGAGCUUAUAGUUAGGGCUGGUUCAGGUCAGCCUUUAGUUAUGCUGUCAUAGGACCAGACUGCUGGGGGUUAGUGUCCCCCCCCCCCCUCUCUCUCCUCUGUCUGUCUCUUUCAGGGUUAUGCAGGCUCAGUAUUGGUUGAAGAUGCAGUCACAUCUCCUUUUACUGAAAACUCUCCCCCUCUCCCUCACCAUCUGUAAGCAUACAUGUCUCAGUAAUGCAGUUCAUGCAUGUUACUAACUAAACUUCUUCCCUGGAGUUUCUGUGCUCUCUCAUCCAGCAGGUUCCGAUGGCUCGUGGCUGCUGCUGUGGUCCUGCUUGACAUCUACUACAUAUAUUAUUACUCUCUGACUUGAUUUGAUUAAUUUAUAUUACAAUGAAGGUGUAUAAAGCAUGACAUGAAUAUAGAAGAUAUUUCAUCCUAAAAAAUUGUCAUAUGUCACAACCUAAAUUAUCCUAUUUUGUGUGUGGU
ensembl:lncRNA